AUAUAGUCCAGUGGUAGAACACUUUCCUAGCACGCAGGAGGCUCUGGGUUCGAUUCCCAGUGU
rnacentral:tRNA from 1 species